AGAGUUUGAUCCUGGCUCAGGAUGAACGCUAGCGGCAGGCCUAACACAUGCAAGUCGAACGGUAAGGUCUCUUCGGAGAUACACGAGUGGCGCACGGGUGAGUAACGCGUAUGCAACCUACCUUUAACAGGGGUAUAGCUUUCGGAAACGGAAAUUAAUCCCCCAUAGUACUUAGAUAUCGCAUGGUAUUUGAGUUAAAGCUUCGGCGGUUAAAGAUGGGCAUGCGUGGCAUUAGAUAGUUGGUGAGGUAACGGCUCACCAAGUCAGCGAUGCCUAGGGGGUCUGAGAGGAUGGUCCCCCACACUGGUACUGAGACACGGACCAGACUCCUACGGGAGGCAGCAGUGAGGAAUAUUGGGCAAUGGACGCAAGUCUGACCCAGCCAUGCCGCGUGCAGGAUGACGGCCCUAUGGGUUGUAAACUGCUUUUUUACGGGAAGAAUAGGCACUACGUGUAGUGAUUUGACGGUACCGUACGAAUAAGCACCGGCUAACUCCGUGCCAGCAGCCGCGGUAAUACGGAGGGUGCAGGCGUUAUCCGGAUUUAUUGGGUUUAAAGGGUGCGUAGGCGGCCCAUUAAGUCAGUGGUGAAAGUUUGCAGCUUAACUGUAAAAUUGCCAUUGAUACUGGUGGUCUUGAGUAUAGUUGAAGUGGGCGGAAUGUGUAUUGUAGCGGUGAAAUGCUUAGAUAUUACACAGAACACCUAUUGCGAAGGCAGCUCACUAAACUAACACUGACGCUGAGGCACGAAAGCGUGGGGAGCGAACAGGAUUAGAUACCCUGGUAGUCCACGCCGUAAACGAUGAUCACUCGUUGUUGGCGAUACACAGUCAGCGACCAAGCGAAAGCAUUAAGUGAUCCACCUGGGGAGUACGACCGCAAGGUUGAAACUCAAAGGAAUUGACGGGGGCCCGCACAAGCGGAGGAACAUGUGGUUUAAUUCGAUGAUACGCGAGGAACCUUACCUGGGCUUAAAUGUAGAACGACCGCCGCCGAAAGGUGGUUUUCCUUCGGGACGGACUACAAGGUGCUGCAUGGUUGUCGUCAGCUCGUGCCGUGAGGUGUCGGGUUAAGUCCCAUAACGAGCGCAACCCCUAUCAUUAGUUGCCAGCGAGUAAUGUCGGGAACUCUAAUGAAACUGCCGGUGUAAACCGUGAGGAAGGUGGGGAUGACGUCAAAUCAGCACGGCCCUUAUGUCCAGGGCUACACACGUGUUACAAUGGCCAGUACAAAGGGCAGCUACUUGGUGACAAGAUGCUAAUCUCUAAAGCUGGUCUCAGUUCGGAUAGAAGUCUGCAAUUCGACUUCUUGAAGUUGGAUUCGCUAGUAAUCGCGCAUCAGCCACGGCGCGGUGAAUACGUUCCCGGGCCUUGUACACACCGCCCGUCAAGCCAUGGAAGUUGGGGGUACCUGAAGUCUGUAACCGCAAGGAGCGGCCUAGGGUAAAACUAAUAACUAGGGUUAAGUCGUAACAAGGUAGCC
rnacentral:rRNA from 1 species